CCUACGGGUGACAGCAGUGAGGAAUAUUGGUCAAUGGACGCGAGUCUGAACCAGCCAAGUAGCGUGAAGGAUGACUGCCCUAUGGGUUGUAAACUUCUUUUGUAUGGGGGUAAACCGUUCCACGUGUGGCCUUUUGUAUGUACCAUAUGAAUAAGGAACGGCUAACUCCGUGCCAGCAGCCGCGGUAAUACGGAGGAUCCGAGUGUUAUUCGGAUUUACUGGGUUUAAAGGGAGCGUAGGGGGAUUGUUAAGUCAGUUGUGAAAGUUUGUGGCUCAACCGGAGAAUUGCAGUUGAAACUGGCAGGCUUGAGUACAGUAGAGGGGGGUGGAAUUCGAGGUGUAGCGGUGAAAUGCGUAGAGAUCACGAAGAACUCCGAUUGCGAAGGCAGUUCACUGGACAGCAACCGACGCUGAGGCGCGAAAGUGUGGGUAGCAAACAGGAUUAGAUACCCGAGUAGUC
rnacentral:rRNA from 1 species